rnacentral:misc_RNA from 1 species
GAUGAAGAACGCAGCGAAAUGCGAUACGUAAUGUGAAUUGCAGAAUUCAGUGAAUCAUCGAAUCUUUGAACGCAUAUUGCGCUCUUUGGUAUUCCGAAGAGCAUGCUUGUUUGAGUAUCAGUAAACACCUCAAAAGAUUUUCAUUUUUGAAAUGAUUUGGACUUGAGCAAUCCCAACACCAGGCUUCACGGAUCGGCGGAGGGUUGCUUGAAAUGCAGGUGCAGCUGGACAUUCUCCUGAGCUAAAAGCAUAUCUAUUUAGUCCCGUCAAACGGAUUAUUACUUUUGCUGCAGCUAACAUAAAGGGAGUUUGACCAUUUUGGCUGACUGAUGCAGGAUUUCACAAGGGUCGGUAAAACGAUUUUUGUAAAACUCGAUCUCAAAUCAAGUAAGACUACCCGCUGAACUUAAGCAUAUCAAUAAGCGGAGGA